rnacentral:rRNA from 1 species
CCCAGACUCCUACGGGAGGCAGCAGUGAGGAAUAUUGGUCAAUGGCCGAAGGGCUGAACCAGCCAAGCCGCGUGAAGGAAUAAGGCCCUACGGGUCGUAAACUUCUUUAGUCAGGGAACAAAGGGUGCCACGUGUGGCGCUGUGAGUGUACCUGAAGAAUAAGCAUCGGCUAACUCCGUGCCAGCAGCCGCGGUAAUACGGAGGAUGCGAGCGUUAUCCGGAUUUAUUGGGUUUAAAGGGUGCGCAGGCGGAGGUGCAAGUCAGCGGUCAAAUUGCGGGGCUCAACCCCGUACUGCCGUUGAAACUGCAUCCCUUGAGUGCGCGAGAAGUAUGCGGAAUGCGUGGUGUAGCGGUGAAAUGCAUAGAUAUCACGCAGAACUCCGAUUGCGAAGGCAGCAUACCGGCGCGCAACUGACGCUCAUGCACGAAAGCGUGGGUAUCGAACAGGAUUAGAUACCCGCGUA